GAUGAACGCUAGCGGCAGGCUUAACACAUGCAAGUCGAGGGGUAUAGGUUUUCGGACCUAGAGACCGGCGCACGGGUGCGUAACGCGUAUGCAAUCUACCUUUCACAGAGGGAUAGCCCAGAGAAAUUUGGAUUAAUACCUCAUAGUAUAGCAGUUUCGCAUGAAACCACUAUUAAAGUUCCAACGGUGAAAGAUGAGCAUGCGUCCCAUUAGCUAAAUGGUAAGGUAAAGGCUUACCAUGGCUACGAUGGGUAGGGGUCCUGAGAGGGAGAUCCCCCACACUGGUACUGAGACACGGACCAGACUCCUACGGGAGGCAGCAGUGAGGAAUAUUGGUCAAUGGACGCAAGUCUGAACCAGCCAUGCCGCGUGCAGGAUGACGGUCCUAUGGAUUGUAAACUGCUUUUGUACGAGAAGAAACAUUCCGACGUGUCGGAACUCGACGGUAUCGUAAGAAUAAGGAUCGGCUAACUCCGUGCCAGCCGCCGCCGUAAUAC
rnacentral:rRNA from 1 species